rnacentral:rRNA from 1 species
GAUGAACGCUGGCGGCGCGCCUAACACAUGCAAGUCGAACGGCACCCCUCCUCGUAGGGAUGCGAGUGGCGAACGGCUGAGUAACACGUGGAGAACCUGCCCCCUCCCCCGGGAUAGCCGCCCGAAAGGACGGGUAAUACCGGAUACCCCGGGGUGCCGCAUGGCACCCCGGCUAAAGCCCCGACGGGAGGGGAUGGCUCCGCGGCCCAUCAGGUAGACGGCGGGGUGACGGCCCACCGUGCCGACAACGGGUAGCCGGGUUGAGAGACCGACCGGCCAGAUUGGGACGGAGACACGGCCCAGACUCCUACGGGAGGCAGCAGUGGGGAAUCUUGCGCAAUGGGGGGAACCCUGACGCAGCGACGGCGCGUGCGGGACGGAGGCCUUCGGGUCGUAAACCGCUUUCAGCAGGGAAGAGUCAAGACGGUACCUGCAGAAGAAGCCCCGGCUAACUACGUG